rnacentral:rRNA from 1 species
AGAGUUUGAUCCUGGCUCAGGAUGAACGCUGGCGGCGUGCCUAAUACAUGCAAGUCGAACGCUUCACUUCGGUGAAGAGUGGCGAACGGGUGAGUAAUACAUAAGUAACCUGGCAUCUACAGGGGGAUAACUGAUGGAAACGUCAGCUAAGACCGCAUAGGUGUAGAGAUCGCAUGAACUCUAUAUGAAAAGUGCUACGGGACUGGUAGAUGAUGGACUUAUGGCGCAUUAGCUUGUUGGUAGGGUAACGGCCUACCAAGGCGACGAUGCGUAGCCGACCUGAGAGGGUGACCGGCCACACUGGGACUGAGACACGGCCCAGACUCCUACGGGAGGCAGCAGUAGGGAAUUUUCGGCAAUGGGGGAAACCCUGACCGAGCAACGCCGCGUGAAGGAAGAAGUAAUUCGUUAUGUAAACUUCUGUCAUAGAGGAAGAACGGUGGAUAUAGGGAAUGAUAUCCAAGUGACGGUACUCUAUAAGAAAGCCACGGCUAACUACGUGCCAGCAGCCGCGGUAAUACGUAGGUGGCGAGCGUUAUCCGGAAUUAUUGGGCGUAAAGAGGGAGCAGGCGGCACUAAGGGUCUGUGGUGAAAGAUCGAAGCUUAACUUCGGUAAGCCAUGGAAACCGUAGAGCUAGAGUGUGUGAGAGGAUCGUGGAAUUCCAUGUGUAGCGGUGAAAUGCGUAGAUAUAUGGAGGAACACCAGUGGCGAAGGCGACGAUCUGGCGCAUAACUGACGCUCAGUCCCGAAAGCGUGGGGAGCAAAUAGGAUUAGAUACCCUAGUAGUCCACGCCGUAAACGAUGAGUACUAAGUGUUGGGUGUCAAAGCUCAGUGCUGCAGUUAACGCAAUAAGUACUCCGCCUGAGUAGUACGUUCGCAAGAAUGAAACUCAAAGGAAUUGACGGGGGCC